rnacentral:rRNA from 1 species
UUCCCUUCGGGGGGCAAGUAGAGUGGCGCACGGGUGAGUAGCACGUAGGUAAUCUACCUUUGGAUUGGGAAUAACCACCGGAAACGGUGGCUAAUACCGAAUAAUGCAGCGGCACCUAAUGGUGACAGUUGUUAAAGCGGGGGAUCGCAAGACCUCGCGUCUGAAGAGGAGCCUGCGGCAGAUUAGCUAGUUGGUAAGGUAACGGCUUACCAAGGCGAUGAUCUGUAGCCGGCCUGAGAGGGCGGUCGGCCACACUGACACUGACAUACGGGUCAGACUCCUACGGGAGGCAGCAGUCGGGAAUUUUGGGCAAUGGGCGAAAGCCUGACCCAGCAACGCCGCGUGAAGGAUGAAAUCCUUCGGGAUGUAAACUUCGCAAGAACGGGAAGAAUAAGUAAGGGUUAAUAUCUCUUACGAUGACGGUACUGUUUGUAAGCUCCGGCUAACUCCGUGCCAGCAGCCGCGGUAAUACGGGGGGAGCAAGCGUUGUUCGGAUUUACUGGGCGUAAAGGGCGCGUAGGCGGCCACCGCAAGUCGACUGUGAAAUCUCCGGGCUUAACCCGGAAAGGUCAGCCGAUACUGCGGGGCUAGAGUGCAGAAGGGGCAACUGGAAUUCUCGGUGUAGCGGUGAAAUGCGUAGAUAUCGAGAGGAACACCUGCGGCGAAGGCGGGUUGCUGGGCUGACACUGACGCUGAUGCGCGAAAGCUAGGGGAGCGAACGGGAUUAGAUACCCCGGUAGUCCUAGCCUUAAACGAUGAAUGCUUGGUGUCUGGGGUUUUAUAGUCCCCGGGUGCCGUCGCUAACGC